GGGGUUUAGUGAACGGGGGCCAGUGUUUCGUUUGAUCUCCCUCUCUCAUACUCACUCAUUUUCUUCUAGUCUUCUUCACAUCAUGCUGUCGCCAACUUCAUAGUCAUACUCCUCUCUCUCUCUCUCUCUCUCUGCCUCUAUGGUUCUCCCGUCUAGUGGCGUCUCCCUAGCUUGAGUAGCUUCAGCAGCCAAUAGGGUUUUGACCGAAAACCCUAGAUCCUAGUAUAUUGAAGCCUCCAAACUCAAAUCCAACGCCAAAAACGUGAUCCUUGAAGCAAUAUCUACGUUUUCAUCGAUUGAUUUGAGGUAUUGCAUGUCUUGGAGUGUUCUUGAUCACCUCCAAGCAUUGGGUUGCGUUUUGGUGUGGAUUUAAGUGGAACAUUGCAAGGCUUUGGUUGGGGAUCCAUCUUUAAGCUAAAUACUGAGCAACAAAAAUGCUGAUGCUUUGGUUGCAGGUAUCACAGACGUCGAUAUGGACAUUGUGGCGUUGUAUUUGGGAUAUUACGACUGAAGCUUAUCGCAAUGGUUGUAUGUGUCGGACUCAGAUUGUCCCUAUUUUGUAUAAGCUUUUGUUUAUGGCUCGUAUUACAUGUGACACAUAAUUUUGUAUAGCCAUCCUUGAUGUAAUUAAUAUUUUGAUCAAGCUUUAAAUAGAUAAACAAAUGUAUAUUUUUGGCGUUGUAAUUAACACUAGUCAGUUUUAUGAUAUUAGUUUUUGCUGCA